CCUACGGGAGGCAGCAGUGAGGAAUAUUGGUCAAUGGCCGGAAGGCUGAACCAGCCAAGCCGCGUGAAGGACGAAGGUGCCAAGCAUUGUAAACUUCUUUUGUCAAGGGACAAAAUCAGGCUCGAGAGCCUGACCGAGGGUACUUGAAGAAAAAGCAUCGGCUAACUCCGUGCCAGCAGCCGCGGUAAUACGGAGGAUGCGAGGGUUAUCCGGAUUUAUUGGGUUUAAGGGGUGCGUAGGCGGACUGUUAAGUCCGCGGUAAAAGCCCGGGGCUCAACCCCGGCGAGCCGUUGAAACUGGGGGUCUUGAGAUGUCGAGAGGUAUGCGGAAUGCGCAGUGUAGCGGUGAAAUGCUUAGAUAUUACGCAGAACUCCGAUUGCGAAGGCAGCAUACCGGCGGCGAUCUGACGCUGAGGCACGAAAGCGUGGGUAUCGAACAGGAUUAGAUACCCCUGUAGUC
rnacentral:rRNA from 1 species